GAGAGACAUAAAAACGAGGGCAUCGGGAAUUAGCGGUGGUAACACCCAGAAAAUACUCUGCUGGAAACACGAAGGCGGUUUGGCUGAAAUGGGAGAUGGGCACGGCGGGAUGCAGUGGGGUUCUGCGGCGCAGGGAGCACGUGGGGAAGGGCCGGGGCGGCACAGCGCUGUGUGCGGACGGAUCCAGCCCCGCGAUAUCCCAUCGCUUCCUGCGUUCCCCUCCGCUCCGGCACACAGCCCCGAUCCACGCGGCACCGCACCGCGCCGGCCAGCUUCAGAGCUCUGGGAAUCGGACCAUGCGAGUGCUCAAUUGAUGUGCUCGGGGGGAAAAAAAGAAAGAAAGAAGAAAAAAAAAAAAGGAAAAGAGAAAAAAGACAGAAGAAGGAGUGCAGCAGUUUUGGGUAGGACUGAGGGACCCGCCCGGUGCCGGGGCAGAGCAGGCAGGGGCUGCAGCUCGGGGCUGCGUCACGUCCCAGCACUGCGUGGGGACGUCGGGUGGCACCUGCCCACACUCUGCACACAGCUCUGCACCUCAGGGGCAGCACGUUUGCUGCUCUCCUCUUUGUCCUUCAGGAGAAAGAAGGAAAACCCCAGCCAGGAGGAGAUGUCCGGGAGAGGCUGCGUGGACCUGGUGCGAGCAGACCUUGAGGGGACAGCUCGCUGCGGACUCUGGCUGGGACAGAACAUCUGUCUGUUGCUAUGGCUGCAGUACACUUGAAGGGGAUGACUGGAUAAUUAUUGCAAACAUCCAUCCUGCCUGAUGUGCUCCCGGACCUUGCUGGCCCGAGCGAGGGGCAGCGGCCGGCAGCUCCGGAGCUGGCCUUGGCCACGGGGACCCUACCUAGGGACGGCGCCUUGGCAACACCUUUUCAUUUGCAUAAUUAAUGAGGCCGAGGCUGCAGGGCUCCUGGGAAAUCCGACGCAGAGCAGCAGCGAUGAAAUGGCACAGAGGGCUUGAGCCUUCUCAGCGGCUCCGAGCUCCGCUCCCCACUUUGGGGCUGGCAGGGAGAUGUUCUCCCGUUCCCGUUCAUUUACCGCCCACUUCUAGCUGAACAGAUUGCUCCGGGCCCGAUCCUGCACACACCUCCUGCAGGCGUGGGCCCUGGGCACAGCGCUGGGUGCAAACCCACUGUCCGCAGCACCGCUGUGCCUGCAGAGCCCUGGGGAUGUCCAAAAACGCAGGCCCAGCCCUGUGCCUUGCAGGUUGUCCCUGUCCCGGCCUAUUCCCGCAUCUGAAAUAACACAGCAGGCAAUGACACCGAGGUUCCCCGUCUGACUCGGUGCCGCUGUGCUCUUUGCCCAGCCGCACAACUUCAAUGCUUCCAUUGUACGGUUUUUUUUCUGUUUAUCAACAAGUGGAGGGACAGUGAGUCAGCAGGGGGAGAGCUGCGGCCGGGACGAGUGUGGGUGUCCUCACCCGGGGCAGCAUCGCAGCAGGGACCCUCCGUGGGGCUCCCUGGGAGCUGGGCUGUGCGGGACAGGGCAGCUCUGCCUUCCCGGUGCCUGUGACAUGGGCAAUACGUAAUCACAUUGCCCCAACAAAUCAGAACAGAACACAACGGAACUCACAUCUGCUUCACGCCCGCAGGUGAAAUCACUGCAGAGCGCUCCCCAGGGCCGAUGCCUUGCUGGGAGCUGGGGCAGCUCUGUGAGCCCCUGCACAGCCCCCUCCGAUGGGAGGGCAAUGGGGAGGGCUGUGUGCUGUUCCUGGCCCUGCCCGAUCGCUAUCGCCCCAGCAGUUUUCCGUAUGAUUCAAUAAACUCCUUUGCUUGCACA
rnacentral:lncRNA from 1 species